rnacentral:rRNA from 1 species
GCAGCAGCCGCGGGAAUACAGAGGGUGCGAGCGUUAAUCGGAUUUACUGGGCGUAAAGCGUGCGUAGGCGGCUUCUUAAGUCGGAUGUGAAAUCCCUGAGCUUAACUUAGGAAUUGCAUUCGAUACUGGGAAGCUAGAGUAUGGGAGAGGAUGGUAGAAUUCCAGGUGUAGCGGUGAAAUGCGUAGAGAUCUGGAGGAAUACCGAUGGCGAAGGCAGCCAUCUGGCCUAAUACUGACGCUGAGGUACGAAAGCAUGGGGAGCAAACAGGAUUAGAUACCCCGGUAGUCCCUGUCUCUUAUAC